GGAGCGGCACGGGUCUGGUGGCCCAACCGGUCUUCAAAACCGCGAGGGCGGGGCACUGCUUCGCUUGGAAGGUUCGAUUCCUUCGCCGCUCGUUCG
rnacentral:tRNA from 1 species